rnacentral:rRNA from 1 species
UACGUAGGGUCCGAGCGUUGUCCGGAUUUAUUGGGCGUAAAGAGCUCGUAGGCGGUUUCGUAAGUCAGAUGUGAAAACUCAGGGCUCAACCCGGAGACGCCAUCUGAUACUGCGAUGACUGGAGUCUGGUAGGGGAUCACGGAAUACCUGGUGUAGCGGUGAAAUGCGCAGAUAUCAGGUGGAACACCGAUGGCGAAGGCAGUGAUCUGGGCCAGUACUGACGCUGAGGAGCGAAAGCGUGGGGAGCAAACAGG